rnacentral:rRNA from 1 species
AACACAUGCAAGUCGAACGGAGUAUAACGCUGCAGAGAUUCGGUCGAAGCUUGUUAAUACUUAGUGGCGGACGGGUGAGUAACGCGUGGGUAACCUGCCGUAUGCAGGGGGACAACAGUUGGAAACGGCUGCUAAUACCGCAUAAGCGCACAGUAUUGCAUGAUACAGUGUGAAAAGAUUUAUCGGCAUACGAUGGACCCGCGUUUGAUUAGCUAGUUGGUGAGGUAACGGCUCACCAAGGCGACGAUCAAUAGCCGGCCUGAGAGGGCAAUCGGCCACAUUGGGACUGAGACACGGCCCAAACUCCUACGGGAGGCAGCAGUGGGGAAUAUUGCACAAUGGGGGAAACCCUGAUGCAGCCGACGCCGCGUGAGUGAAGAAGUAUUUCGGUAUGUAAAGCUCUAUCAGCAGGGAAGAUGAUGACGGUACCUGACUAAGAAGCCCCGGCUAACUACGUGCCAGCCGCGGC